rnacentral:rRNA from 1 species
UAGGGAAUCUUCGGCAAUGGGGGCAACCCUGACCGAGCAACGCCGCGUGAGUGAAGAAGGUUUUCGGAUCGUAAAGCUCUGUUGUAAGAGAAGAACGUGUGUGAGAGUGGAAAGUUCACACAGUGACGGUAACUUACCAGAAAGGCACGGCUAACUACGUGCCCGCAGCCGCGGUAAUACGUAGGUCCCGAGCGUUGUCCGGAUUUAUUGGGCGUAAAGCGAGCGCAGGCGGUUUAAUAAGUCUGAAGUUAAAGGCAGUGGCUUAACCAGUGUUCGCUUUGGAAACUGUUAAACUUGAGUGCAGAAGGGGAGAGUGGAAUUCCAUGUGUAGCGGUGAAAUGCGUAGAUAUAUGGAAGAACACCGGUGGCGAAAGCGGCUCUCUGGUCUGUAACUGACGCUGAGGCUCGAAAGCGUGGGGAGCAAACAGG